CAGCCGGACCGGACGGCCGCCCCGCCCAUUCUGGCAAGAGCAUCGCACCGGCGGCUCUUACGAGAAUGGGCGGGGAGGAAAGUCCGAACUCCGCAGAGCAGUGUGCCGGAUAACGUCCGGGACGCCAGAUUCAAGUCUGGCGGACGGAAAGCGUCACAGAAAACAUACCGCCUUGGCGUCGUUGUGAGGGCUUUGUGUGGCGCGCACACUCUUGUGCGCGCUGGCGGGCAAGAGUGCCCGCCCCACAAAGCCCCUGCAACGACGCCAGGGUAAGGGUGAAAAGGUGCGGUAAGAGCGCACCGCCGCGACAGUAAUGCCGCGGGCAUGGCAAACCCCACACGGAGCAAGACCAAAUAGGGAGGGAGCCCCGCUGUCGCUCUCAGCGCUUGUCAUCCUGAGCGAAACGUCUUUUUGUUGAGCGAAGGAUCUGGGCGUGCCGCGCGAAUCCUGGGAGCCUGCCCUGAGGGAGCGCAAGCGACCGAAGGGCGCGUUUGGCACGCAUCCUCAAAGCGCUGCGAGCGACGGCGGAGCACGUGCCGGCUCGGUGCGUCAAACCUCCGGGUAGGUCGCUAGAGCCGGGCAGUAAUGCGCGGCCCAGAGGAAUGGCCGUCCCGCCGGAGCAAUCCGGCGGACAGAAUUCGGCUUACAGGUCCGGCUGCCAC
rnacentral:RNase_P_RNA from 1 species